rnacentral:rRNA from 1 species
GCAGUCGAACGGAAGAAUAGCAAUAUUCUUUAGUGGCAAACGGGUGAGUAACACGUUGAGAAUCUGUCUUUUGGUGGGGGAUAGCCAGUAGAAAUGCUGGGUAAUACCGCAUGCUCUUGCAAAACAAGAAAAGAUUUAUCGCCAAGAGGUGAGCUCGCGUCAGAUUAGGUAGUUGGUGGGGUAAAGGCCUACCAAGCCUGUGAUCUGUAGCUGGUCUGAGAGGACGAUCAGCCACACUGGGACUGAGAUACGGCCCAGACUUCUACGGAAGGCAGCAGUGGGGAAUUUUGGACAAUGGGGGAAACCCUGAUCCAGCUAUGCCACGUGAGGGAAGACGGCCUUUGGGUUGUAAACCUCUUUUACCUGUGACGAUGAUGACGGUAGCAGGAGAAAAAGUCCCGGCUAACUCUGUGCCAGCAGCCGCGGUAAGACAGAGGGGGCUAGCGUUGUUCGGAAUGAUUGGGCGUAAAGGGUGCGUAGGCGGAUUUUUAAGUAAGAUGUGAAAUCCCCAGACUUAAUCUGGGAGGGUCGUUUUAAACUGAAAAUCUAGAGAACCAAAGAGAGAAGCGGAAUUUCUGGUGGAGAAGUGAAAUUUGUUGAUAUCAGAAGGAACACCAAAGGCGAAGGCAGCUUCUUGGGUGGUUACUGACGUUGAGGCACGAAAGCGUGGGGAGCAAACAGGAUUAGAUGCCCUGGUAGUCCACGCCCUAAACGAUGAGCGCUUGGCGCCGGAUCUUUUUUCGGUGCCGUAGCUAACGCGUUAAGCGCUCCGCCUGGGGAGUACGGUCGCAAGAUUAAAACUUAAAGGAAUUGACGG